UACGGAGGGAGCUAGCGUUGUUCGGAAAUACUGGGCGUAAAGCGCACGUAGGCGGCGCAGCAAGUCAGGGGUGAAAUCCCGGGGCUCAACCCCGGAACUGCCCUUGAAACUGCAGUGCUAGAAUUCUGGAGAGGCGAGUGGAAUUCCGAGUGUAGAGGUGAAAUUCGUAGAUAUUCGGAAGAACACCAGUGGCGAAGGCGACUCGCUGGACAGACAUUGACGCUGAGGUGCGAAAGCGUGGGGAGCGAACAGG
rnacentral:rRNA from 1 species